rnacentral:lncRNA from 1 species
UUCCUUAUCAGUGAUACAAAAGUACACUAAAUUUGUAGAAAAUUACUAAAAUUGAAAAGUAUUAUUAUUCAAACACAAACUUGUUUUACAUCUUAACUAAUACAAUUAUUUCUACCUCAACAAAGAGAAACUCCAAGCCAAACUUCAUGCACUUUGUAUAUUAUUCCUUACUAUUAACCGCCGCAUCCAGCGCCACAUCCAACACCACAUCCANCGGCNUGAGUNUUACUACCCUUGGUACUUUUGUUGUCGUCUCCACAAGCAAAUAUGAUGAUUGAAAUGAUAGAAAGAGAAGCAAUAAUCAUGAGAAACAAAAAUAUGGGUGCAGAAUUAAGCACCAAACCUUCUUCACCUCCAUUUCG